ACUUUUAUCUGUUUGUACAAUAAUUAAUGCCUCUGAAACCACAAAAAGGAUUUGAUUAGAUAAUUUGCAGCCAGUAUGAGAAUUAUGUUUAUUUUGAAAGGGGGUUUUCAGUUUGGAACUUAAAUGAAUAUUUUUUCCAUGUUUAGGCUUUAGAGGCUGAGCUCUCUAUACCCUUGCAAUGGUCAUGGUUACCUGUGCCACCAUUAGACCAAGUAUGUCUUUGGAAGCAGUUUGGGACAAUUUCAGAGGAGCCCACAUGUCUUGUCUCUGUGAAUACAGAACGUGCAGUUGUCAAGCAAGAAACCAGCAUCCCUUGGUGAGUUCUGCAGUCAGUAAGCUGUGAGUAGUCAGUCAGCCUCACAGAGAACAGCCCUCUGCAGUAUUUAAGACACUACUCAACCUCAGAUCAAGCUGCUCAAAUUUGCCUUUUACUCAAGAUCAAGCAUCUUCAGAAGUCAUGCUGUAAGCAGUAGGGAAACUAUCAAGUUGAACUGAAACAGAACAGCUAAAAAGAAGAAAACAAAUGUGUACUUGACAGAUGCAAAGAGGCUGAGUGUUCACUGGGGCCCUUUUUGUUUCCCCUGGACUAAUUUAAGAAUCUUCUGCCAUGAAGCUUGUUCUAGUUUGCAUUUCAAUAUGUUUCCCUUAAUAUUAAACCAUGAACUUUCCAUGGGCCAAUUAAACAAAAAUGAAAUAGAGGUCAGUCUCUUCCUGAAUUCCUGUCAAUUAUGAACAUUCUUUCUCUACACUUGGUCACCUUCUCACUGUGACUGCCAAUCUAAGAUCCUCAUUGCAGGUAGCAAUCACAUUCCUGGUGAUUAGACCAGAAUAAAAGCUCAAUUGCAAGUUGUUCUCAUCCCUCCCUGGAAGAGAUCAUGCAUAUGUGAGUCUUAGUCUCUUUUUCUUCCCAAACUAAAAUGUGUCUCUCCCUCUGCUUCUCUCUUACAUGUACACGUAGACAGGUAUAUGUGAUGCCUUCUCUCUUCCUUUGUCUUUCCUAUUUCUAGAAUCCUCCCUUUCUAUAUUUCUAUUCAUUAUUUUUCUCCCUCCCAUAUUGUUCCCCAAACUACCUUUAAUGUACAGCUGGUAAAUAUAAGUAUUUGUCUUGUGAUAAAAUUUGGAGGAAAAAGCAAAGUUGUACAUCUUGGUGUUUAUUUGAACUAAGAAACUCUGUCUUCUACAGUAAGUUCACUUUGACUACAUCAAAGUAUUUGUUUCCUGCCCAUGCUCUACCUUAUCCUAAUGUAAUUAAAUUUCACUUUCUUUUAUAAAAUAUACCUUAAAACUAUUUCUAGUCAACAGUUUUCUACUUUGAGUACUAUAGUACAGUAUUGUCUUCCACUGCUGUUCAUUGCAGACAUGCUACAUAAGGUAAAUUAGCCCUUUUGAAAUAAUUUUGGAAACUGGCCAUUUUCAGAACAUUGUUUCUAUGAGAAAAUGAAUUUCCAGCCUUUAGAACAUGAUUUAUUUUAAAAGUUAGCUAUUUCCUAUGCCUGUUUGGUAACAAAAAUCUUUUUGAUGUGGUGACCUCAAAUCAGAAAGACCUGCCUUGGUUUUUACCUUGUUAAAUAUUUUCAUAAUUGAAACGGAUUAACCUAUUUAUUUCUUGUAUUUUGUCAUGUGUGUAACAUUCUAGAGAGACCUUGCAAUGCAUACUGUUGGUUUAUUUAUAGUUUUUCACAAUCAAAAGGCAUAUGAAAGCUGCAGUUUUCUGCUAUUUCUAUUCUUCCGCUCUUCCUGGGCACAUGGAGAGAUUAUCUUUUCUAAUCUCCCUAUUAGCUUGUUGACAUGGUCGUGUGACUGGAUAUUUGUCAAUGGAAUAUGGAUGCUGGUGGUUUGUGAAACUUCUCCCUCAUUUGUGUAAGAGGAAAUCCCUAGCCAGGGACUGUCUCCCUGUCCCCUGUUUAGCUAGUUGCAAUGGUGACUACCAGAGCACCCCGGAAGCCAACUGUUGAUGGCAGAGCUGCCACCAGACUGUUGCUGGUGACUGUCGGAAGCAGAGCUCACCAAGGUAGAUCGCUUACCUGGAACUGUUACCUGGGAAACAGAUAAACUUCAUGUUUUAGAAAACAUUUUAGUUUUAAUAGAUACAUAAUAAUUGUAUGUACUUAUGAGGUGUGAUUUUAAUACAGCAUGCAGUGAUUUAUUGAGUAUAAUUAGCAUAUCCAUCACCUCAAAUGUUUAUCAUUUCCUUGUGGUGAGAACAUUCAAAAUCCUUAUAAAUUAUUAUUAAGUCUAGUCAGCAAAUUGUGCUAUUGAAUGCUAGAACUUUUUCCUCUUAUCUACUUGCUAGCCAACCUCUCCCUAAUGGUCC
rnacentral:lncRNA from 1 species